UAAUACGGAGAGUGCAAACGUUGUUCGGAUUCACUGGGCGUAAAGGGCACGUAGGCGGCUCGGCAAAUCGGUCGUGGAAUCCCGACGCUUACCGUCGGAACGGCGGCCGAAAAUACCGGGCUCGAGGGCGUGAGGGGUCACUGGAACUCCUGGUGAAGCGGUGAAAUGCGUAGAUAUCAGGAGGAACGCCGGAGGCGAAAGCGAGUGACUGGCGCGUUCCUGACGCUGAGGUGCGAAAGCUAGGGGAGCAAACAGGAUUAGAUACCCUGGUAGUCCUAGCCGUAAACGAUGGACACUGAGUGGAGGAGGGCUUGCCUUUCUCUGCUGCAGCUAACGCGUUAAGUGUCCCGCCUGGGGAGUACGGCCGCAAGGUUA
rnacentral:rRNA from 1 species